rnacentral:lncRNA from 1 species
AGUUGACAUGUCAUCACUUCAUUUUUUGCGCCUGCGCAUAAAUCUGAGAGAUGUGAGUUUGUCAUCAUUGUUUAUCUAGACAUAGGAUAGGUUGUGUGAAAAUAUUACUGAUGUUUAACGUUAAAAAUGGACCAAAAGAUUAAUGCUAAACAACAUUUGACAUGUUUGAACGAACAUAAAUAGAUUAUUUACUAGGUUUUUUUUUAGCUUUUCGGCGUGAUUUUACACUCCCCCCACCACGUUUUGUGGGAGCAUAAUGAACGCUAAGUACUUUGUGUUAUUUGGACAUAAAUUAUGAACUUUGUCAAAAGAAACCACAUUUGUUCCGGACCUGGGAUGCCUUCCGGACCUGGGAUGCCUGCCUUCUGAUGGAGAUAAUCAAAGGCUCCAGCCAACAGUGAAUUUUCCACCCCAAAAAAGAAAAAAAAUGAAAAGGUAUGAGGUGACCAAUAGAAGAAAAUGUACAUUCAUUCUGAGGACACGGAAUGGGGUUUUGACAACCUCUGGAACACUUCUGAAGGAGAGUCUCAUGGAGCAUGGCCGUGUUUGAGA